rnacentral:misc_RNA from 1 species
AAAGUCGUAACAAGGUUUCCGUAGGUGAACCUGCGGAAGGAUCAUUACAUAUUAAGCAAAGCCGGGUACAAGAGCCACCGCUUCGGCGCAACUCUGUCCUGGUCGCGCGAAUAUUCACCCAUGUUUUUGCGUACUUCUUGUUUCCUUGGUGGGCUCGCCCGCCACAGGACAACCAUUAAACCUUUUGUAAUUGCAGUCAGCGUCAGUAAAAUGUAAUCGUUACAACUUUCAACAACGGAUCUCUUGGUUCUG